UACGAAGGGGGCUAGCGUUGCUCGGAAUCACUGGGCGUAAAGCGCACGUAGGCGGGUUUCUAAGUCGGGGGUGAAAUCCUGGAGCUCAACUCCAGAACUGCCUUCGAUACUGGAAGUCUUGAGUCCGGGAGAGGUGAGUGGAACUGCGAGUGUAGAGGUGAAAUUCGUAGAUAUUCGCAAGAACACCAGUGGCGAAGGCGGCUCACUGGCCCGGUACUGACGCUGAGGUGCGAAAGCGUGGGGAGCAAACAGG
rnacentral:rRNA from 1 species